rnacentral:rRNA from 1 species
CCUACGGGAGGCUGCAGUGGGGAAUAUUGGACAAUGGGGGGAACCCUGAUCCAGCCAUGCCGCGUGUGUGAAGAAGGCCCUCGGGUUGUAAAGCACUUUCAGUGAGGAAGAACGCCUGGUGGUUAAUACCCAUCAGGAAAGACAUCACUCACAGAAGAAGCACCGGCUAACUCCGUGCCAGCAGCCGCGGUAAUACGGAGGGUGCGAGCGUUAAUCGGAAUUACUGGGCGUAAAGCGCGCGUAGGUGGCUUGAUAAGCCGGUUGUGAAAGCCCCGGGCUCAACCUGGGAACGGCAUCCGGAACUGUCAAGCUAGAGUGCAGGAGAGGAAGGUAGAAUUCCCGGUGUAGCGGUGAAAUGCGUAGAGAUCGGGAGGAAUACCAGUGGCGAAGGCGGCCUUCUGGACUGACACUGCCACUGAGGUGCGAAAGCGUGGGUAGCAAACAGGAUUAGAUACCCCUGUAGUC